AUUGAACGCUGGCGGCAGGCCUAACACAUGCAAGUCGAACGAGUGGCGGACGGGUGAGUAAUGUCUGGGAAACUGCCCGAUGGAGGGGGAUAAAUACUGGAAACGGUAGCUAAUACCGCAUACCAUCGGAUGUGCCCAGAUGGGAUUAGCUAGUAGGUGGGGUAAGGGCUCACCUAGGCGACUAUCCCUAGCUGGUCUGAGAGGAUGACCAGCCACACUGGAACUGAGACACGGUCCAGACUCCGACGAGAGGCAGCAGGGGGGAAUAGUGCACUAUGGGCGCGAGCCUGAGGCAGCCAUGCCGAGUGUAUGAAGAAGGCCUUCGGGUUGUAAAGUACUUUCAGCGAGGAGGCGUUACUCGCAGAAGAAGCACCGGCUAAGUCCGUGCCAGCAGCCGCGGUAAUUC
rnacentral:rRNA from 1 species